rnacentral:lncRNA from 1 species
CGCCACUGUGACUUGCAAGCAACUCACUGCACUUAGGCACUGGACUACCUGAAUUUCUAAUUCAGUGACGGAAGGCUGCUGGGUGUAGUCAAGUACUUGACUUGUCGGUGCGUGUGUCAAGAUGGGAUUGACCACUCCAGUUUAGGAGCUGUGUACAGUCGUGUUUCAAUUUAGGAAAAUCUUGGCCAGGGUAGUCUUUGUGAGGAGUCACAGGACUGUUUGAGUUG